rnacentral:tRNA from 1 species
UCCCAGGUGGCUCAGUGGUAAAGAAUCUGCCUGCCAAGCAGGAGACCUGGGUUCAAUCCCUGGGUUGUGAA